GAUGAACGCUGGCGGCGUGCCUAAUACAUGCAAGUCGAGCGAACUGAUUAGAAGCUUGCUUCUAUGACGUUAGCGGCGGACGGGUGAGUAACACGUGGGCAACCUGCCUGUAAGACUGGGAUAACUUCGGGAAACCGAAGCUAAUACCGGAUAGGAUCUUCUCCUUCAUGGGAGAUGAUUGAAAGAUGGUUUCGGCUAUCACUUACAGAUGGGCCCGCGGUGCAUUAGCUAGUUGGUGAGGUAACGGCUCACCAAGGCAACGAUGCAUAGCCGACCGGGGAGGGUGAUCGGCCACACUGGGACGGAGACACGGCCCAGACUCCUACGGGAGGCAGCAGUAGGGAAUCUUCCGCAAUGGACGAAAGUCUGACGGAGCAACGCCGCGUGAGUGAUGAAGGCUUUCGGGUCGUAAAACUCUGUUGUUAGCGAAGAACAAGUACGAGAGUAACUGCUCGUACCUUGACGGUACCUAACCAGAAAGCCACGGCUAACUACGUGCCAGCAGCCGCGGUAACAC
rnacentral:rRNA from 1 species